rnacentral:lncRNA from 1 species
AGGGAAGCCUCAGCGUGGGAACUUGUCUUCAUCUCGGCCCUCACAAAUAUGUUUGCUUGUUGAAACGUUGGCUCUAGGCUGAGGCCUCCCUUGCUCACCUCUGUUCGUAAGUUGAAACGUUCG